ACUCGUACUUCUCUUCAUAAUCAAAUGAAUCUUUUGCCUUUUACUAAAGAUUAACGUGGAGAGGGACGAGCAUGACCGUUGCUUCCAUUUUUUUGAGGGCUUGUGGGAAUAAGCAA